ACCCUAAUUUCAAUUUCAUACAUCUCUGCCCGUUCCAUCGUUGUAUCCCUCUUUGUUCCAUUACAACCUAGAUGUCAGUCUAAAGCAACCAGCAAAAGGUUCAAUUGCAGAACUUCAAUUAAAAGGUUGAUUGAAGACGGGUAUGUUCGUGUUCAACUGCAGAACUUCAAUUCAAAAACCCUAAUCAUCGCUCACCUGGUUGAUUCUGAAGGGCUAAUAUCAUGGUAUAAUCCCUGGUGAAGCAGAAGACAUCAGCCAGCCCUUUGAUUUGUUCUUUAUUUCUCCAAAGG